rnacentral:rRNA from 1 species
GAUGAACGCUGGCGGCGUGCCUAAUACAUGCAAGUCGAGCGAACGGACGAGAAGCUUGCUUCUCUGAUGUUAGCGGCGGACGGGUGAGUAACACGUGGAUAACCUACCUAUAAGACUGGGAUAACUUCGGGAAACCGGAGCUAAUACCGGAUAAUAUUUUGAACCGCAUGGUUCAAAAGUGAAAGACGGUCUCGCUGUCACUUAUAGAUGGAUCCGCGCUGCAUUAGCUAGUUGGUAAGGUAACGGCUUACCAAGGCAACGAUGCAUAGCCGACAUGAGAGGGUGAUCGGCCACACUGGAACUGAGACACGGUCCAGACUCCUACGGGAGGCAGCAGUAGGGAAUCUUCCGCAAUGGGCGAAAGCCUGACGGAGCAACGCCGCGUGAGUGAUGAAGGUCUUCGGAUCGUAAAACUCUGUUAUUAGGGAAGAACAUAUGUGUAAGUAACUGUGCACAUCUUGACGGUACCUAAUCAGAAAGCCACGGCUAACUACGUG